AACUGCCGUUGACAAAACGGAGGAAGGUGGGAUGACGUCAAAUCAUCAUGCCCUUAUGUUCUGGGCUACGACACGUGCUACAAUGGCCGGUACAGACGGACGCAAAGCCGCGAGGUGGAGCAAAUCCUAAAAAGCCGGUACUCAGUUCGGAUUGCAGGCUGCAAUUCGCCUGCAUGAAGUCGGAAUCGCUAGUAAUCGCAGGUCAGCAUACUCGCGGUCGAAUACGUUCCCGGGCCUU
rnacentral:rRNA from 1 species